UACGUAGGGUGCGAGCGUUAAUCGGAAUUACUGGGCGUAAAGCGUGCGCAGGCGGUUUUGCAAGCCGGAUGUGAAAUCCCCGGGCUCAACCUGGGAAUGGCAUUCGGGACUGCAAGGCUGGAGUGCGGCAGAGGAGACUGGAAUUCCUGGUGUAGCAGUGAAAUGCGUAGAUAUCCGGAAGAACACCGAUGGCGAAGGCAACCACCUGGGCCUGCACUGACGCUGAGGUACGAAAGCGUGGGGAGCAAACAGG
rnacentral:rRNA from 1 species